CGAAAAACGAUGCAAAAGACUAGAGAGAAGAGAAGAAAAUGAACAAGAAAUGAGGCUGCCUUCGGAUCCUUUAUAUAGAGGCUGGAACCUCGGAGUACGCGGGGCGUACAGGCGUACGCAGCGCGUACGCGUCCGAAAUCGUCAUUGCAUGCGUCAUCCGAAGUGUCGACACUAUCGGAGUUACGCGAUAGCGUAACCUCGUACGCGGGGCGUACUCCGGAUUACACCGGUGACACGGCUUCGGAUAAUGCCUCCGAUUUUGAAUUAAAUAAAAAUAUAAAAUGAUUAAUAAACUUCGGAAAUUCAUAACUUCUUCAUACGAACUCCGUUUUCGACGUUCUUUAUAUCCACGCGAAGGUGAGACCACGCUCUACGACUUUCGUUUAGACUCCGUCGGCUAAUUUUGACUUUAUUUUUAUUAAUUAUUUUUAAUAGGCCGCGACAGAAACUUUCGUUAUAAAUUCAUAACUUCUUCGUUUGACGUCCGUUCUCGCCUAACUUUUUAUCGCUUCGAUACCAACAAUGAGAUCUUCGAUUCUCAUUUAGAUUGCUUCGGCUAACAACCGCUCGAUCUCAAAUCGAGUAUAACAGGCUGUAUAUCGCUAAGCCGGAACUUCGAUAAAUCAUAACUUCCUCAUACGAAGUCAGAUUUGGGCGUUCUAUAUAUAUUCGGAAACCUCGUUUCAACUACUACAACAUUAACCAAAGAUAUUAAGUUUAUUUUACACUUAAAUUUUGACGCUUAUUUUUAUUCUUAAUUAAUCAAACCACAUAAUUAAGCAAUUAAGCACAAAACACAUAAUACUCAAAUAAUACAAUCUUAUUAUUUCAAAACGGGUUACAAAGGUUAACCUAGACUAUUAUAUUGCUAAAAAUGGCAAGCCCGGAAACACAGGCGUUACAAUUCUCUCCACCUUAGAAUGAUUCCGUCCCCGGAAUCACACAUCAACAAACAAAUGCGGAUAGCGACUCAACAUGUCACUCUCCGUCUCCCAGGUGAGAUUCGGCCCAUUCGUGUGUUUCCAUCGGACAAGCACUAACCCAACCAUUUUGCGUCGCAACUUCUUAGUCUUUCGGUCAACAAUUGCCUCUGGUUCUUCAAUCAACCUUUUGUUCUCAUCAAUUCUCAAUUCAGAAAUUGGAAUUAUAUCGGGAACUUCUCCCGUGAACUUCCUCAAAUAACACACAUGAAAGGUGUUGUGAAUUCCAUUCAGUUCUUCGGGUAAUUCGAGCUUGUAAGCUUGGUUCCCAAUCCUCUGAAGGACUUUAAACGGUCCAAUAAACCUUGGACUCAACUUUCCCCUUUUACCAAAUCUUAUAAGUCCCUUCCACGGCGAGACUUUAAGCAAAACCGAAUCUCCAACCUCAAAAGUCAUCGGUCUUCGCUUCUUGUCAGCAUAGCUCUUUUGACGAUCUUGAGCUGCUAACAUUCUUUCCCUAAUUAUUUUCAACUUUUCAGCAGUUUGAUGAACCAUCUCCGGUCCCAUAAACUGCUUUUCCCCAGCCUCAAGCCAACAAGACGGCGUACGACACUUCUGUCCAUACAAAGCUUGAUAAGGUGCCAUCUUAAUGCUCGAGUGAAAACUAUUAUUAUAGGAAAAUUCUACCAACGGUAAAUGUUCAUCCCAAUUACCUAGGAAUUCCAAGGUACAUGCUCUCAGCAUAUCUUCAAGUGUUUGUAUUGUUCUUUCACUCUGACCAUCAGUCUGCGGAUGGUAAGCUGUGCUUAAACAUAACUUGGUACCCAUUUCCUCUUGUAGACUUUUCCAAAACCUUGAGGUGAAACGGCUAUCACGAUCCGAUACAAUCGUUAACGGAACACCGUGAAGCCUCACAAUUUCCUUCACGUAAGAAUUCGCAAGCUUUUCCAUAGACCAUUUCUCCCUGGCCGCUAUGAAAUGCGCACUCUUAGUGAAUCGAUCAACGACCACCCAAAUCAUGUCGUGACCAUUCUUUGUUCUGGGCAGUUUAGUGACAAAAUCCAUAGCAAUGUCUUCCCACUUACCCAUAGGCACAGGCAAAGGUUCUAAACUCCCGUACGGUUUCUGAUGUUGUGUCUUGACUCUCGCACAAGUCACACACUCGGCCACAUACUUUGCAACAUCAAGCUUCAUCGUCGGCCACCAGUAGUAGGGUUUCAGGUCCCUAUACAUUUUAGUGCUACCCGGAUGAAUCGAGUACAUGGUCUUGUGAGCUUCUUCCAUCAGAAGAUCUCUAAUUCCUCCUGACUUAGGUACCCAAAUACGAUCUUGGAAUACCUUCAGUCCAUGACCGUUAGUACCAAACACCAACGUUUUACCCAAACGUUCCUCCUUUCGGUCAUUUUUCUCAGAAGCUUCCUCUUGAGCUUUCUUUAUACUUUCCACAAUGGUCGAGACAACUUCAAUUCUCAACGCUCUUGGCCUCUUCCUUUCAAGAUUGACCUUCCGACUGAGAGCAUCAGCAACAACAUUAGCUUUACCGGGGUGGUAAAGUAUCUCGCAGUCGUAGUCUUUAAGUAAUUCUAGCCAGCGUCGUUGCCUCAUAUUCAAUUCUUUCUGAUUAAAGAGGUAUUGGAGACUCUUAUGAUCAGUGAAAAGUUUGCACUUCGUGCCAUAGAGGUAAUGCCUCCAUAUUUUCAGAGCGAAAACUACCGCUGCCAACUCCAAAUCAUGAGUCGGGUAAUUCUUUUCAUGCUCUUUCAGCUGUCGAGACGCAUAUGCUAUCACCUUUUCUCUUUGGGUCAAAACACAACCCAAUCCAACACCAGACGCAUCGCUAUAAACAGCGAAGUCUUCAACUCCAUCGGGUAGAGAAAGUAUCGGUGCCUCGCAUAGCUUCUUCUUUAACUUCUCGAAUGCUUCUUUAUGCUUCUCACUCCAAGCAUAAGUAGCUCCUUUGUGGGUCAAAGCUGUUAAUGGAGUAGCAAUCGAAGAAAAGCCUUGGAUAAACCUUCGGUAAUAUCCGGCUAAUCCUAAAAAGCUUCGAAUCUCCGUGGGACUUUUCGGUUGUUCCCACUUCGUCACAGCUUCGAUCUUCGCUGGAUCAACCAUUAUCCCUUCUUGGUUGACCACGUGACCCAAGAAUUGGACUUCACGAAUCCAAAAAUCACAUUUGGAGAACUUCGCAUAAAGCUUCUCCUUCUUCAAAACUUCUAACACUUCUCGCAAGUGUCUGCCAUGCUCCUCCUGGCUUUUCGAGUAGAUCAGAAUGUCGUCUAUGAACACUAUCACGGAUUUAUCAAGGAAAGGAUUACAAACCCUAUUCAUCAAAUCCAUGAACGCUGCUGGAGCAUUGGUUAGUCCAAACGACAUAACCAAGAACUCGUAGUGUCCAUAUCUAGUUCUGAAUGCAGUCUUCUCGAUAUCUUGCUCUCUUACUUUCAGCUGAUGAUAUCCUGACCUAAGAUCGAUCUUCGAGAAAUAGCUCGAACCUUGCAAUUGAUCAAACAGGUCAUCAAUCCUCGGCAACGGAUAUCUAUUCUUUAUUGUUGCCUUGUUCAGCUCUCUGUAAUCGAUGCACAUUCUCAUACUUCCAUCUUUCUUCUUUACAAAUAACACCGGAGCUCCCCAGGGCGAUGAACUAGGUCUAAUGAAACCUUUGUCCAAUAACUCCUGAAGUUGCAUCAUUAGCUCCUUCAUCUCCGUCGGUGCUAAUCGAUAAGGUGCUUUUGCUAUUGGCGUGGUUCCUGGUAACAAGUCUAUUCUGAACUCCACUUGUCUAUCAGGUGGUAAUCCAGGAAGAUCCUCGGGAAAUACUUCCGGAUAAUCACACACCACUGGAAUGCUCUGCAUCACCUUCUUUUCUUUCUUAGCAUCAAUCACGAAUGCUAAAUAUGAUGUACAUCCCUUGGUCAAACACUUUCUGGCUUUCAUUAGAGAAAUGAUUCCAGAAUUCACUCUGCGUUUGUCCCCAUACACCAUAAACGAAUCUUUUCCAGGCGGGUUUACUUUAACUAUCUUCUUCUUGCACAAAAUUUCGGCAUCAUUGGCGCUAAGCCAAUCCAUUCCCAAGACGAUGUCGAAACCAUUUAGUUCGAUAGGCAAUAAUUCCUCGAGAAACUUAUUCCCAUUAAGGUCGAUCAAGACGUUUUUCAUACGAUGGCUAACAGGUACAAACUUGCCACUAGCUACUUCGACUAAUAAAGCAUUAUUUAGUCUAUCAACAGGCAAAGCUAGCUUUCUACCAAACUCAUGCGAAAUAAAGGAGUAGUUGGCUCCAGAAUCAAACAAUAUAUGAGCAGGUAAUUCGUUUACGAGAAAGGUACCUGAAGCGACAUCAGCUUCAUCUUUCGCAGCCUCAAGUGUCAUCUGGAAGGCUCUCGCCUUCGGCUUUGGUGGAAUGUUGGGCCUAGCUGCCUCCUUCUUCUUCGGACAGUCUUUCAAAAUAUGCCCCUCUUCAUUACAACCAAAACACAUCCUUUUGUUGUUCGGACAUUCAUUGGCAAAAUGUCCAACCUUUCCACACUUGUAGCAGGUCACAUCCUCGCUACAUUUCCCAAAGUGCUUUUUCUUACACUUAUCACACCACUUUGCUUCGCCUCCUUUUCCUCCAAACUUUUUCGAAUCAGAUUUCGAAAAUUUGCUCUUCUUACUGGAACCAGAUGUUCCUUCAAACUUCCUUUUCUCACCAACCUCAACCUUGACGGUGGUUCUCCCCUUGAUCAUGUUCUCCACAGACUUGGCAGCCCAGAUAGCUGCCUCUAGAGUAAGUGCCUGACGUACCGGCACCUCGUACUCCCAUGGAAGUCCCUUCGCAUACCGAUCCACCUUUGUCAGCUCGUCUGGAACGAUACGCAAGGCAAACUCCAUCUUAUCGGUGAAGUUAUUGGUGUAUUCAUCAACUGACAUGCUACCCUUCGUCAAUGUCAAAAACUUAUUCUCCAACUCCAACAGAUUUUGAGCCGAGCAGAACUUGCGCUUGAACUGCACCAAGAACUCUGCCCAUGACAAUUGCAGUGGCUCAUUAGGGCUUAAGGUCUUCCCUAGAGUGUUCCACCAACGAACGGCUCCACCUCGGAAUUGUCGCACGGCAUAGAUAGUCUGCAACUUACCUCUGCAGCCACAUGUCAUAAAGGCUAACUCCAUUUCGGAGAUCCAAUCCAUAACCCCAAUCGGAUCCUCCUUUCCAUUGAAGGUCGAUGGUUUGCAAGUCAAAAAGUCCUUGUACUUGCAUCCCAUUCCAUCAUUCCUUCCUUCAUGGUUAUCUUGCCUAACUAUCGGUGGGUUGGCUGGACCAACAGACCCACUGAAGUUUCCACCUUCCGAGUGCCCUUCAUUUAAUUCAGGCUCUUCCACACGAAUCGACAGUUCUUCACGAUUUUGUUGAAGCAACCGUCUAGUUUCAUCCAUCUGACGAUCCAACAUCGUCUGAAUCAUCAAUUGCACACCAGCCAUGGUUAUUGGCUCAGGUGCUGCUGCUACGACAGGUAUUGGCUCAAUCACUGGUGGUUGAUUCCUGUUUUCGUCAGCAUUUCCAACUCCACUUCUUGUUCUCACCAUUUUGAUCUACACCCCGAAUAAGGUGAAAUUAGAUCCUCAAUCAUGAUAGAUAUUCAAAUCAUCCUUAUCACUCCGAAACGUUUACAUGCUAGUUCUAAUAUCGUAGACGUACGCUUAGAAUCCUACACACAUAAGGUUUCUAGAUCCGGUCGGCAACAGACCAUAGAUCCGAACAAAUAAUAUCAUAUAUGGCAACAUAUAACAUUUAGCACAUAAAGCAUUUUAGGCAACUUUCCUAAAAUAAACUAGUGCUCGUGUCUAAAACACAACAGACACACAUCUCAAAACUUCACUUAGCAUUCUAAGUUUAAGUCUAGAAAUCCUACAAAUUCCUAGUUCGCUUAAACUAAUGCUCUGAUACCAACUGUGACAUCCCCAAAAUCUCGGCCAGAAAAGACCGAUUUUCAUUUAUGCUUUUAAAUAUUUUCAGAGUAAAUCCUUUUGAUUUGAAAGAGUUGCGGAAUUUGUUCCCAAAAACAAAACAUGAUAAAACAUUGUUUACCGAAGCAUUUCAUAAAAGAAAUGUAUUUUCAUUAUAAUCAAAACUCGGGGUGUCAUGUUCCGAUACAGACCAAUAAGCAUAAACGAAUACAUUACAAGUCAUAUAACAAAUAUAAACAUAUGCAGACUUGUAAACAAAACAACUUGAUGGUUCAUCCAUCUCAUGCCCUUCCGCCACUACCUGUAAUACAAUUUAAAACUGAGUGGGUCAGGCUUGGGAGCCUGGUGAGCAUAUAGGGUUUUCAACCCACAAUAAAUAUCAUAUUUAAUUUUCACCAACCAACAAUAACCCAAUUACCCAUUCCCGUUAUUCUCACUUUAAUGUCCCUAAAACAACUAACAUAAGGGACCUAGUCUAAGAAUAUUUCAUCGGGGCGACAACACAUGCUUCGGGGGUACCUCAGCAAUAUAAGUCAAAUAAGGCAACCAUGAGGGGGAUGGAGUACAGCGAAUGAACACCCAAGUUCAUUAACACCUACAGGUGGCGAACCUGCUAAUGUUUCCACAAGACUGUCUAGAAUAGCCAGUGGUCGUCAUCUAAACUCCGCUAGAUGACUCAAUCAAACAACAACGAGGCCUCUCAUCUGUUUAUUACACACCAACUGUCUACCCAUGUUCUACCCAACAUAUUAGUAGAUAAAAAUAUACAUUUGUAUACAUAGUUUAAAGAAAACCUGUAUAGCAUGCUUUAAUCAACACAUAUAUCACAUAACAGAUGAGGCACACACACACAUAACACAUAUCUCAUAAAGAAAUAAGCAGAUCUAUAAGAUAGAAGAGAGUGAAUACUCAUUCACACAUAACACAACCAAAUAUAUACACAUAGCACGUAUUUUUAUAUAAAAUACUUCGUAUUAUUGUAUUAGAAGAAAUAACUACACACUCACUUGAUCAGAAGAUGAUCGGACAGCACUACGGCUUAUAGAAGUAGUAAUCCACAGCAGAUCUGGAAGAUCUUCUCGAAAAUCGAACUUCUCGCGGGCAGAGCUUCGACUCGGGAACCGCACUUUUCGGGAUCUUCGGGAUCUCGGGACUUGCCUCGGGGCUAGAGUAUGAUACCGGGACUUCGGGGUAGCUUCGGGGGUUUUUGCACAGAGCUUCGACACGAAAACGAGAGGGAAUUGGCAAAAAUACCCGGAACCCUCGCAUCCUAUUUAUAGGAGGCUGGAGCCUCGGAGUACGCGGGGCGUACUGCGUUACGCGGGGCGUACUGCCCAAAACGUCAUUGCUUACGUAUCCGAAGUGCUCGAGUGCGAGUGUCGACAUCCCUCGGAGUACGCAGGGCGUACUCGAGUACGCGGGGCGUACCUCGGAUCAGAUCGGUGACUCCUUCGGAUAAUGCUUCCGAAUUUUGAUUUAAAUUUAAAUACAAAAUGAUUAAUAAACUUCGGAAAUUCAUAACUUCUUCAUACGAACUCCGUUUUCGACGUUCUUUAUAUCCACGGAAAGGUGAGACCAUGCUCUACGACUUUCGUUUAGACUCCGUCGGCUAAUUUUGACUUUAUUUUUAUUAAUUAUUUUUAAUAGGCCGCGACAGAAACUUUCGUUAUAAAUUCAUAACUUCUUCGUUUGACGUCCGUUCUCGCCUAACUUUUUAUCGCUUCGAUACCAACAACGAGAUCUUCGAUUCUCAUUUAGAUUGCUUCGGCUAACAACCGCUCGAUCUCAAUUCGAGUAUUUCAGGCUGUAUACCGCUAAGCCGGAACUUCGAUAAAUCAUAACUUCCUCAUACGAAGUCAGAUUUGGGCGUUCUAUAUAUAUUCGGAAACCUUGUUUCAACUACUACAACAUUAACCAAAGAUAUUAAAUUUAUUUCACUCUUAAAUUUUGACGCUUAUUUUUAUUCUUAAUUAAUCAGACCACAUAAUUAAGCAAUUAAGCACAAAACACAUAAUACUCAAAUAAUACAAUCUUAUUAUUUUCAAAACGGGUUACAAAGGUUAACCUGGACUAUUAUAUUGCUAAGAACGGCAAGCCCGGAAACACAGGCGUUACAAUU
rnacentral:lncRNA from 1 species